rnacentral:rRNA from 1 species
UACGGAGGGUGCAAACGUUGCUCGGAAUCAUUGGGCGUAAAGCGUACGUAGGCGGCUAUGUAAGUCGGGUGUGAAAGCCCAGAGCUCAACUCCGAAACUGCAUUCGAUACUGCCGUGCUUGAGGACUGGAGAGGAGACUGGAAUUUACGGUGUAGCGGUGAAAUGCGUAGAUAUCGUAAGGAAGACCAGUGGCGAAGGCGGGUCUCUGGACAGUUCCUGACGCUGAGGCACGAAGGUCAGGGGAGCAAACGGG